GUUCUACCCAACUCUACAACCUGCUGCCGAGUAAUUCCUUCACCCAACUGACUCAAAUCACCCCUUAGAUUACUGAGUAUAGGAGGUGUAGUGUAUUACCAAAUCUAUAAAUUAUUAUGUACGCAUACACAUAUAAACUCUGGUCCGUCUACUUUAACAAAUAUUUAUUCAGAGACAAAACAACAACAACAUACAAAUAAUGACACACAAUCUAACUAACUAUACCACCAACAACAGCAACAACAACCUAACUAACAAUAACAACUACAUCUUAUAAAAUCACCAGAUCCCACUCACAGUUAACCAUGAUAGAAAUUAGGCCAUGUCUGCUUAAAGGACUGCUCAGUAGCACAGCCAAGAAGGAACAGAGAGGAAUGGAGAUAGGGGGAAGUGGUUACCUCUUUCCUGAAAGGUAUUGAAUUACUCAAUUACCAUUUCAAAAGUUAAAGCUUACCCCACCCCCAAGAAAGGC